rnacentral:lncRNA from 1 species
CUAUCGUGGUAGCACAUGUAUAAUAAGCAGAGGCGUGCAGGAAAGAAAAAGAACACAACUGAGACAAAAUAGAGCUUCUAGGACUUUAGUCAAAGGCAGAAAGUGAUUUAACCUUGACAGUGAUGACGUCCUGAGCUGGUUCACUCUGCUGCCUCAUAGGCUGCUCGCAUCCUGGGUGUUACGAGCUGGGGACCGAACCAGGGCCUUGCGCUUCCUAGAAUUACCAAGUUGGACAGAAUAUUAUUCUACUGACAGCUGUCACUUGGCCGAUUUUAAAAUCUUCCUCAUUGUAUGUCUGUUACGGGGACUGGGCACGU